CAGGGUUCACCACGUUAGCAUUCGCAUUCCUGGGAGGAUGUAGCCCUCGCCUGGACCUGGGCGAUAGAAGCCUUCUUCUGUUUUUAUUUUUGGAGGGGAUCGCCCUGUAAUUGUCCUGAACACAUGCUUCCCCCCCUUCCUCCAGCCACCCGCGGAGGAGAGAGUCCCCCUUUUUUGCAUUUAUCUUUUCCUUCCCCUUUCUUUAUUAAAGGUCCGGGAGUGGCGGCGGCCAAUCAGCGCGCGGCUUCCAUUUUGUGAGUUCAACUCCGAGGCUCCCGGGCUUCGCGAGGACGCGUUUGCAGCCCCCUCUGCCGCUCCUCUCUGGCGGCCGAGGCGCAGGAGCCGCCUCGCCGGGGCUCGGAGCUGGUGUAGCUCAUAUUGGGGCUCUUUUCGGGGUUUGUAAUUUGGCCGUGGGUAGGUAAUUGGCUGGAGCAGGGCGGCAGGGCGCGGCAGCCAAUCAGCGCGCGGCUUCUAUAGGGCUUGAGUUAUUAGACGCUGAUCUCAAAACAUCCUUCAUCAGACACGAAGGAGAGGCCAACAGAUGAGGGAAGCCAUUUUUCUGCAAUGGAAUUAAAUGGCCAAGUGGGUUUUUCCUUUGUUGCAAAUGGGGAAUGUUUUUCCUUUGACUCUACCAUCCAGUUCAGGACGUCUCAGUGUGUUUAACAUUUGUCAACAGGCCCAAGGACUCACAGUUGGAAGACUGGAGAAGACUUUUUAAAAAGAUCUGGAUUUUUCCUUAUGACUUGGAAUCCAUCUUUGUCUUGUAUAACUAGGUCAUAGCACACCAUUCAUGUCAGCAGUUAACAGUUUUGAAUUCCAAAAAAACCUAAGUAAAUGACAUAUUUUUUUCCUUUUUGUUCUUUGGGUGGGUGGGGGGAGCUUGGAGCUGUCUUAAUCUGUAUUCUCUUGACUGAACAAUAAAUUUUUAAAUAUAUCUAGUUUCCUCUAUUAAACACUUAAACCUGGCCAUCUUAUUAACUCCUUCUCUCUUUUUAACAAGGUAAUGUUUUAAAUGUAUAUAGCUUUAGAACUAGCGAAAUGGCAGCAACAAAAAAUUGUGAGCAGUUUACUCUUAGUUUUUAAAAAACCUUUUACAUUGUAAGUACCCAAUCCAUUCUGUCCUGACGCAGUACAGUUUUUAUGUUAAUGUUGCUGAGAUGUCCUUAAUUUUCCGAACCUUCAUCUGCAUGUAUGUCUUUGUCUCUCUUGUCUAAUAUAAGCCAGUUAAGAUGCUUUGAGACGAUCUUGCUUUUAUAAAGCUAAGGUUCUAGCUUUAUGCUUUUGAAAAUGCUUACAGCACUAAAUGCUAGUCAGCUUUCUUCCCCGUAGCUUGUACACUUUCUUUGAAAAUCGAUCUAUUUGAAGAAAAACAGCCCUGUUUUUCUCGUCUUUGGGGUUGGGGGUUGGGGGGAGCUGGUGGGUGAGGGAAAGGAAGACCUUCUCUUUGUGUCGAGAGACUAAAGCCGUCACAGGAAACUAGAUUAAAACUGGAAAACAAGUCCUAACUGGUUCCAGCAAACACGUUCAACGUUAAGUGGGGGGUAUUUUCUAUGGUGGUUGGGCGGCUGGUGUCUUUUGCCUUUUGUUUGAUUUGACUGUGUAUUUUCGCCUUUUGUCUCUUAAUGACGAUCACACCAUUGCUAUAUCCAGAGCAGUAAACAGUCCUCAGCGAAGCUGCCUUUUUGCCUACCCAACCCUGGAAAGUUUGCAGAAGUGGAAGGAGCAGAACGUGAGGGUGUAACUUACAAAAAGGUUCUGGGCCAGAGAAGGGGCGACAGCCGGGCACCCCCCGAAUGGACAAUUUUUCCUUCUGUCGACGGCAGGGGCAGGCCUAGUUUGACCCUGACAGUCCUCCCAUUAAGCUUCUGUUGUCAGGCAUUUGGGGCGUGCAAUUCUCUGCCGAAUUUAGCAGCAUACGAGAGGCUCCACUUGCAAGUAUUUCCCAGUUGUGUGUUUUUCGGCGGGGGGAGGGCCCUGGGUGCCUCCUACUUCUAAAAGACACAGGUCACUGCCAGAAAGCCCAACUGUGUUGUGGCCUCCCUUCCAGCCGUCCCCGUGGGGCAUUUGGGGUGACAGUGUGAGCCAUCCUCGGAUGUCUGGCUGCUAGGGAGGCAAAGAACAGAGAUCCGGGGUCCCAGCCAGCUUUCUUUAUGAAAGGGCCGUCCUUGACGCUUCACCACCUUCCUGGGAUUCUUGUUUUCUUCUCCAGUCCCCAGAUGGGCAGGCCUGUAUAUAAGCCUUAGUGUUUAGAACCGGACAAAGCUGGAUUUGAAACCUGGCGAGCCAUUGA